rnacentral:rRNA from 1 species
GUUGGGUUAAGUCCCGCAACGAGCGCAACCCUUGUUCAUUAGUUGCUACAUUCAGUUGGGCACUCUAAUGAGACUGCCGGUGACAAACCGGAGGAAGGUGGGGAUGACGUCAAGUCCUCAUGGCCCUUAUAGGUGGGGCUACACACGUCAUACAAUGGCUGGUACAAAGGGUUGCCAACCCGCGAGGGGGAGCUAAUCCCAUAAAACCAGUCGUAGUCCGGAUCGCAGUCUGCAACUCGACUGCGUGAAGUCGGAAUCGCUAGUAAUCGUGGAUCAGAAUGUCACGGUGAAUACGUUCCCGGGUCUU